UACGUAGGGGGCUAGCGUUGUCCGGAAUCAUUGGGCGUAAAGAGCGCGUAGGCGGCCAGAUAAGUCCGGUGUGAAAGUCACAGGCUCAACCUGUGAAUGCCGCUGGAAACUGUCUGGCUAGAGUCCGGAAGAGGCGAGUGGAACUCCUGGUGUAGCGGUGGAAUGCGCAGAUAUCAGGAAGAACACCAACGGCGAAGGCAGCUCGCUAGGACGGUACUGACGCUGAGACGCGAAAGCGUGGGGAGCGAACAGG
rnacentral:rRNA from 1 species